GCCAGACUCCUACGGGAGGCAGCAGUGAGGAAUAUUGGUCAAUGGGAGGAAUCCUGAACCAGCCAUGCCGCGUGCAGGACGACGGCUCUACGAGUUGUAAACUGCUUUUGUACCGGGGUAAAAUGCCUUACGAGUAGGGUUUUGAAAGUACGGUACGAAUAAGGAUCGGCUAACUCCGUGCCAGCAGCCGCGGUAAUACGGAGGAUCCGAGCGUUAUCCGGAUUCAUUGGGUUUAAAGGGUGCGUAGGUUGUUUUAUAAGUUAGCGGUGAAAUACCGAUGCUCAACAUCGGGGCUGCCGCUAAUACUGUAGGACUAGAGAUCGGAUGCAGCAGGCGGAAUGUGUAGUGUAGCGGUGAAAUGCAUAGAUAUCACGCAGAACCCCGAUUGCGAAGGCAGCAUGCCGGCUUCCGACUGACGCUGAAGCACGAAAGCGUGGGGAUCGAACAGGAUUAGAUACCCGCGUAAUC
rnacentral:rRNA from 1 species